rnacentral:rRNA from 1 species
UACAGAGGUCUCAAGCGUUGUUCGGAUUCAUUGGGCGUAAAGGGUGCGUAGGCGGCGCGGUAAGUCGGGUGUGAAAUCUCGGAGCUUAACUCCGAAACUGCAUUCGAUACUGCCAUGCUUGAGGACUGGAGAGGAGACUGGAAUUUACGGUGUAGCGGUGAAAUGCGUAGAUAUCGUAAGGAAGACCAGUGGCGAAGGCGGGUCUCUGGACAGUUCCUGACGCUGAGGCACGAAGGUCAGGGGAGCAAACGGGG